rnacentral:tRNA from 1 species
GCCGGGGUGGCCGAGCGGUCCAAGGCGAUGGCCUGGAGUUAGCUCCUCGGAGAGCCAUUGCCCGCAAGGGCGCCCGGGUUCAAAUCCCGGCCCCGGCG